rnacentral:lncRNA from 1 species
AUUUGGUCAACCACAUGAUUUGAAUGAUAGGGACCUCAUAGCGGCUAAGACAUACUAUUAGAUAUUACGAAGAUUAAAUACCUAACACCAGAGAAUAUUGCUUCAUCCUAUGGACGUACGUGAGCCGCCCUUCUUGAAGACUCGUUUAAAAACCUAACAACUCCCACAAACGGAGGAUCGUCAAAAAAAAGGGAACCAUGGGAAUGUAUAUGUUGGUCAGAUCACAUGAAGCCACGUUCCAACAGCCAAGCUUGUCAUUGUGGGAAACC